rnacentral:lncRNA from 1 species
UAGCGGAGAUCAGAUGGAGGAGACCAAGAAGAGCAUUUGCUGAAAGAAAAGAAUGAUAGAGGAAAUAAUUGAACAAUAAUGCCCAAUUUUCUGUAAAGCUAAUAAUGAAUACAACAUUUUUUCUGAGAGCUUUAUUGUCACAUGAAUAACAAUAAAACGACUGACAUGUCUGGCAGCCGUUAAAGAGCUGCCUAUUAUAAACGUUUAUACAAAUUGAAUUUCUAUUCGAUACUAUUUGAUCACCAUCGUGACGCAAGAUAUAUAAGAAAAAUGUUAGAAAU